UACGAAGGGGGCUAGCGUUGCUCGGAAUCACUGGGCGUAAAGCGCACGUAGGCGGAUCUUUAAGUCAGGGGUGAAAUCCUGGAGCUCAACUCCAGAACUGCCUUUGAUACUGAGGAUCUUGAGUCCGGGAGAGGUGAGUGGAACUCCGAGUGUAGAGGUGAAAUUCGUAGAUAUUCGGAAGAACACCAGUGGCGAAGGCGGCUCACUGGCCCGGUACUGACGCUGAGGCACGAAAGCGUGGGGAGCAA
rnacentral:rRNA from 1 species